CUCCAUCUCGCACUGGACUCCCAUGGGGUCCUGAAGCUCCACCAUACGUUGAGCUCCCUACCAAAAGGUAAUGUCCUCUAUACUUUCUUUCUUUCAUCACAAUCCUACUGCCGCGCAUGACUUUCAAGAUUUCAUCAUCAGCUCUCCACCUAUAAUCGUUUGAAUCCAGUCUGCUCAAUGAAAUUAGAUUACUCUUGAAGUUGGAUAUAU
rnacentral:lncRNA from 1 species